AUGCUGUCCGCGUUCUCGUCGUGGUUCGUGAACCCGCGCCGCAACCCGCUGGCCCGCAUCCACAUGCUCACCAUCUCCAACCGCCUCAAGAACUUCGGCCUGAGGUACGACGAUCUGUACGACCCCUACUUCGAUCUGGACAUCAAGGAGGCGCUCGGCAGGCUGCCCCGGGAGGUGGUCGACGCCCGCCACCAGCGCCUCAAGCGCGCCAUGGACCUCUCCAUGAAGCACCAGUACCUCCCCGACGACGUCCGGGUCCGUCCCUCUUUCCUGCCCCCCACCCCCGCCCUCUAA
rnacentral:rRNA from 1 species